GGGGCUAUAGCUCAAUUGGCAGAGCGCAUGCAUGGCAUGCAUGAGGCAACCGGUUCGAAUCCGGUUAGCUCCACCA
rnacentral:tRNA from 1 species